AGCAGCCGCGGUAAUUCCAGCUCCAAUAGCGUAUAUUAAAGUUGCUGCAGUUAAAAAGCUCGUAGUUGAAUUUCGGGACCAAUAUGUCGGUCGUGCUUCGGUACGUACUGUCAUAAUUGGUUUCUCCCUUCUGAAGAACCUUGAUGUCAUUAAUUUGGUGUCUUGGGGAAUCAGGACUGUUACUUUGAAAAAUUAGAGUGUUUAAAGCAGGCUCGCGCUUGAAUACAUUAGCAUGGAAUAAUGAAAUAGGACGUUUGAUUCUAUUUUGUUGGUUUCUAGGAUCGACGUAAUGAUUAAUAGGGAUAGUUGGGGGCAUUAGUAUUCAAUUGUCAGAGGUGAAAUUCUUGGAUUUAUUGAAGACUAACUACUGCGAAAGCAUUUGCCAAGGAUGUUUUCAUUAAUCAAGAACGAAAGUUAGGGGAUCGAAGACGAUCAGAUACCGUCGUAGUCUUAACCAUAAACUAUGCCG
rnacentral:sRNA from 1 species